rnacentral:rRNA from 1 species
AUACGGAGGGCGCAAGCGUUGCCCGGAAUCACUGGGUGUAAAGGGUGCGUAGGCGGGGCUGUAAGUCAGAGGUGAAAGCCCUCGGCUCAACCGGGGAAUUGCCUCUGAUACUGCAGCUCUUGAGUCCCGGAGAGGCCGCUGGAAUUCCUGGUGUGGCGGUGAAAUGCGUAGAUAUCAGGAGGAACACCGGAGGCGAAGGCGGGCGGCUGGACGGGGACUGACGCUGAGGCACGAAAGCGUGGGGAGCAAACAGGAUUAGAUACCCCAGUAGUCC